GACGAACGCUGGCGGCGUGCUUAACACAUGCAAGUCGAACGGAAAGGCCCUGCUGUUGUUGGUUGCUCGAGUGGCGAGCGGGUGAGAAACACGUGAGUAACCCUCCCUUUACUGUGGGAUAACUUCAGGAAACUGGGGCUAAUACCGGAUAGGAUCUCCUGCUGCAGGGGGGUGGAUGGAAAGUGUCGGCGUUUGGGGAUGGACUCGGGGUUUAUCAGCUUGUUGGGGGGGUAGUGACUUACCAAGGCUUUGACGGGUAGCCGGCCUGGGCGGGUGACCGGCCACAUUGGGCCUGGGAUACGGCCCAGCCUCCUCCGGGAGGCAGCGGUGGGGAAUAUUGCCCAGUGGCGGGAAGCCUGUUGAGGAAAGGCCCGGUGCGGGAUACCGGCCUUCGGGUUGAAAACCGCUUUCGCAUGUGCCGAAGCGUUAGUGACGGUACUGGGUAAAGAAGCACCGGCUAACUACGUG
rnacentral:rRNA from 1 species